rnacentral:rRNA from 1 species
AACGAACGCUGGCGGCAGGCUUAGCACAUGCAAGUCGAACGCCCCGCAAGGGGAGUGGCAGACGGGUGAGUAACGCGUGGGAAUCUACCAAGUUCUACGGAACAACUGAGCGAAACUUCAGCUAAUACCGUAUACGCCCUAAGGGGGAAAGAUUUAUCGGAAUUAGAUGAGCCCGCGUUGGAUUAGCUAGUUGGUGGGGUAAUGGCCUACCAAGGCGACGAUCCAUAGCUGGUCUGAGAGGAUGAUCAGCCACACUGGGACUGAGACACGGCCCAGACUCCUACGGGAGGCAGCAGUGGGGAAUAUUGGACAAUGGGCGCAAGCCUGAUCCAGCCAUGCCGCGUGAGUGAUGAAGGCCUUAGGGUUGUAAAGCUCUUUCAGUGGGGAAGAUAAUGACGGUACCCACAGAAGAAGCCCCGGCUAACUUCGUGCCAGCAGCCGCAGUAAAAC